AAAGUGCGAAAAUUACUGUGAAUUGCAGGAUUCGCGAGUCAGCUAGUCUUUGAACGCAUACUGCGCUGUCCAGUCUUCUGGUCAGCAUGUUUGGUUGAGUGUUGGAUCAUUUCAAUUGUUAUCCAGGAGAAGGUCACGCAAGACUAAUCCAGGAAGCAGGUACGCCUGAGGUCUUUUCUGAUUUUGAAAGAGAGACAUGGGUGAGAUGAUAGUAGAUGGUGGUGGUGGGGUGGUAGGUAGAGUACCACAAACCAAUUAUACCAUCUUGGUCUUUUCAAAACCAGAGAACGUAUACUCUUCUCUUCUAGUACCUGGUUGUCAUUUGAAAAAACACUUGGUCUUUACUCUCUCUUUCUCAUUCUCAUUCAUAUCCCUCUUCGGGAUACGAACGAACGAACGAACGAACGAGAGAGUGGCCAUCCAAAUUAACCUCAACUCAAGCAGGAUUACCCGCCGAACUUAAGC
rnacentral:misc_RNA from 1 species